AAAUUGAAGAGUUUGAUCAUGGCUCAGAUUGAACGCUGGCGGCAGGCCUAACACAUGCAAGUCGAACGGUAACAGGAAACAGCUUGCUGUUUCGCUGACGAGUGGCGGACGGGUGAGUAAUGUCUGGGAAACUGCCUGAUGGAGGGGGAUAACUACUGGAAACGGUAGCUAAUACCGCAUAACGUCGCAAGACCAAAGAGGGGGACUUUCGGGCCUC
rnacentral:rRNA from 1 species